rnacentral:rRNA from 1 species
CGGCACCUCAAGUGGUCAGGAUGAUUAUUGGGCCUAAAGCAUCCGUAGCCGGCGCUGUAAGUUUUCGGUUAAAUCUGUACGCUCAACGUACAGGCUGCUGGGAAUACUGCAGCGCUAGGGAGUGGGAGAGGUAGACGGUACUCGGUAGGAAGGGGUAAAAUCCUUUGAUCUAUUGAUGACCACCUGUGGCGAAGGCGGUCUACCAGAACACGUCCGACGGUGAGGGAUGAAAGCUGGGGGAGCAAACCGGAUUAGAUACCCGAGUAGUCC